rnacentral:rRNA from 1 species
CCUAACGGCUGAACCAGCAAUUUGUGAGAAUGGAGUUAGAAAUUAUAUAUAGAUUAGGUGUUUUUGGUUAUUAUGCCUACUAUAAUUUCUGGUGGUUUAUCCACAUAAAAUUCUAGAUAGAAAAUAGAUGAUGACUUAAUUCUAUCUACUAGUCUUGACUAAAUCACGUGCCAGCUGUCGCGGUAAUACGGGAAAGACAAGUGUUAUUCAUCUUUAUUUGGUAUAAAGGGUACCUAGACGGAUUUAAGAACUCGUUCCUUCCUACGAACUAGGAAGGUUACUAACUGUAAUAUGUAAUAUUUAAUUAACCAGUCUAUUUAAUUUAUUAUAUGUGUGGUAAGAGUACAACUAAUCUAGAGUUUUAUAUGAGAGGAUUUUAUUAGAACUGACGGAGUAAAGAUGAAAUUUUUUGAUACUGUUGGGCACUGAUAACGGCGAAAGCGGUCCUUUAUCUAAAAACUGACGUUGAGGGACGAAGGCUUGGGUAGCAAACAGGAUUAGAUACCCCAAUAGUCCAGGCAGAAAAUGAUGAGUGUUAUAGAUUAAUUUAAUGUUGAUUUAUAAAUGAAAGUGUAAGCACUCCACCUCAAGAGUAAUGUGGCAACGCAGGAACUGAAAUCAUUAGACCGUUUCUGAAACCAGUAGUGAAGUAUGUUGUUUAAUUCGAUGAUCCACGAAAAACCUUACCACAACUUGAAUACGUUAACAAAAUAUAAUAUUAUAUUAAGAUUUGUUAAUGACGCAGGUGCUGCACGGCUGUCUUUAGUUAAUGUCGUGAGACGCAGGUUCGCUCCUAUUAAUUAACGUAAACCCUUAUUUUAUUUUUUUAAUAAAGUGGUUCUCCGAUCUUUCGGAUAAGAUAACAGGGGUCAAGACAAGUACUCGCGGCCCUAAUGUU